GGGACAUGGUGCCGGCCACUUCUGGGAGCAGCUGCCACCCCUGAGCCACUCAAGGCGACCCAUCCCCUGCCAUCCAUUCCUAGCUUCAGGCAAGAGGAAGUCUUUAACCCAGUAUCCCUCCCAUACUCCUGGUCUUUGAGACCAGCUCAUGGAACCGCCACUCCAAAAACCCACCAUUUCAUAUCCAACCAAAGGAUGGGCAUCGAUGUGGAAAUAGGACACAUUUCGGACAGUGAAGGUAAUUAACUACCGGAACAGCUCACCCAGGG